rnacentral:lncRNA from 1 species
CGGUCGCCGGAGUCAACGGCGACCGAUCAUCAAAUUGGUUGAGGGGUUUUGAAGCUGACUUCAAGGGGAGUUCAUUCGUGGGGUUGGUUUCAUCAUUGGCUUAGCCAUCUCGCUGGAAAGCAGGAGAUAAGUUGACGGUGGUUGGAGGCGUUUCUUCUUUGUUUCACGUCGAUCAUGGGGUGAUGGUGGAGCGGCGGUGCUCGCUGUUACAGGGGAGAAGAGACGACGGUGGUGAUUGUGCUGCCUUGG